rnacentral:rRNA from 1 species
AUGUGCAGCAUAAGGGGAACCCUAGCCGAUCGGAUCCAUCCUCCGCGGCCGCAGGUUCCGACACCCCCUGCAGCAACACAACCCCGCAAUCCCCUGCCCCGCCGCCGGUCCGAACCCCUGCCGUCCGCCGCCGGUCCGAACCCCUGCCGUCCGCCGCCGACCACCACCGCGAUCGUUCGUUGCCACCACCUGCGCUGCCUGGGCUAUUAUGCCUGGCUGCGUUUUGGGCGAAAUAAUCUCGCUGGAGACAGAGGCGGGAGAAGAGUCGUCGAUUUCGUUGUGCAAUCGGUCUGCUUUGUUGCGCCGGCCCAAAUGAACAUAGCAGGAGCGGAGUAUUCGAAUAAGGCCAGCUCAGGCGUCCGCCAUUGUCACAGAUCCAAUAAGGUCGAUCCGAUUAGCGCAUAUCUCCCGACAUCAUUAAGGCCAGUUGUUGGUCCGAUCAGCCACAAUAAAGCGACUAUUGAAGACGCUGCUGACGAUGGAGACGGGGACAGACUUAGCAAGCUCCCAAAUGACCUUUUGCUCAACAUUCUGGAGAGGGUGGACACACUCGAUGCAUUAAGGGCCUGCUUCCUCUCCAAGCAAAUGCUGAAGCUCCCCACCUUGCUCUCGCAACUCUUCCUAAGCGCUGGUUCCAUUCCAGGUCACCAUGAUUCAGCUCGUGUUUUCAGACCAAGUGAAGUACUCCGAACCAACCGUGCUGUGGCUCAUGUAACGGAUAACAUAUUGAGCACAAGGAGCCCGGAGAUCACCAUCAGCAAACUCAAAAUCAAAUUCGUCUUGACACAGCAUGAGUCUCUCACCAUUGGCAAAUCUGUCGCGCGUGCGAUGGCAACCCAGAAGUUUGGCGCAGCCGAGUUUGAGGUCACAACGGACAAGGCUUAUAAGAUCUGCUCUCCUGCUGAUUUCCUCCACUUUGGGAAGCAGUUCAAUGAUUUUGUCGGUGCUUGUCCGGAUGCAUUUGCUGGCCUUACGCGCCUGUGGCUGCGCAAUAUGAGGUUUGGUGAAUUCGACAUCCCCAACAUCCUCAGCACUUGCAAGCUCUUGGAGUCUUUGCGUUUAAGCCAUUGCGACUCAGGGAUCCAUUCUGUGCUGCAAGUAGAACAUGCUCAACUUGCUGAGCUCGAGAUCGACCAGGGGAAAUUUGAGAGAGUUGAGCUGAUAUGUCUACCAAAACUCCAACGUGUGAGAUAUAAUAAUUGGUGCUCUUAUGAAGAUCCCCUAUAUUUUGGUUUUGCACCACAGCUUUCGAAGCUCAUCCUCACUAAAACUGCUGUCCGUUCGCAAAAGACCCUUGAGUUAAGUCAGCUCCUUGCUAAUGUUUCUUCCAUAAGCGAUCUUCAUCUGGAUUUUAGAAGUGAAAAGAUUUGGGUCCUGCCAGAAUGCCCAAAACUGCUCACGCCUGUGCUCAGCAAACUACAGCAUGUGAAUCUGGACCAUCUUCCUGAAGGCUGUGAUUUAGCUUGGACAAUGUUUAUUCUUGAAGCUGCACCCUCCUUAAAAGAGCUGUGCAUCACAUUAUGGGAUCAUUGGUGCAUAAUGACGACAGACAAUGAGUUUCGGAAGAAAUAUGGUUUCUGUGAAAAGAUCGACAUGAAGUGGAAGCCAUAUGCCCCUGAUUUCAAGCACAAGAAUCUGGCUAAGCUCACCAUCUAUGGCUUCCAACCCGACGACAACCUUCUGCGAUACAUUAGGUCUGUCAUGGAACAUGCGGUUAAUAUGGCAGAGAUAUCUCUGCAUGACAGGAAGGUGUGUGUGAGCUGUAGUGACUUGGAUUCUGAGAUCAAGGACAAGUUUUGUCCAUCAAGAUAUCCACGAACUGCCGAGAAGAGGAAGCAGACAACCGAGGAGUUAGGUUCGCUUGCUAUGAUUCACUUCAGGUCCUAA